rnacentral:lncRNA from 1 species
AAUGAGAAAAAUAAAGGAAACUAUAAAGCAUCUAGCAUUUACUCGCUGUCUUCUUGUGGAUCGGGCUGGGGAACCAGGUCCUCCUGAUCUGAAAUGGUUAAAUAAGGAAUGAGCUACACUAGCCCAGUAAGGACAUCACACUAUAUCACCGUCACAGAAGUAAAAGUUGGUAGAAAACAAAAAAAAAAAAAACCAAUGGGGCACAAAUUUCAAAGCAAUACAUUUAUUUAAAAUAAAACCAUUUACCAU